GGGGAUAUAGCUCAAUGGUCAGAGUGCUUGACUACGAUGAUGUAUGUAUUGUAUGUACAUGGGAUGUGAGAUCAAGAGGUUCUGAGUUCGACCCUCAGUAUCCCCU